rnacentral:rRNA from 1 species
UACGUAGGGUGCAAGCGUUGUCCGGAAUCACUGGGCGUAAAGGGCGCGUAGGCGGCCUGAUAAGUAGGGGGUGAAAUCCUGCGGCUUAACCGCAGGGCUGCCUUCUAAACUGUCGGGCUAGAGCACGGUAGAGGCAGAUGGAAUUCCCGGUGUAGCGGUGAAAUUCGUAGAUAUUCGGAAGAACACCAGUGGCGAAGGCGGCUCACUGGACCGGUAUUGACGCUGAGGUGCGAAAGCGUGGGGAGCAAACGGG